rnacentral:rRNA from 1 species
AUUACGUCCCUGCCCUUUGUACACACCGCCCGUCGCUACUACCGAUUGAAUGGCUUAGUGAGACCCUCGGAUCGACGAAUGGAAACCUUUACGGGUAUCUAUUUGUUGAAAAGUUGGUCAAACUUGGUCAUUUAGAGGAAGUAAAGGUCGUAACAAGGUUUCCGUAGGUGAACCUGCGGAAGGAUCAUU